UGCCAUGAUAUCUCGGUAAUCACGCGAGAUGGUGAAGUGGUCAUAGACCUUUCCAUCCCGGCUCUUCUUGUACUCGAACAGAAGCGUAGAGUGGUUGAGUGCAGUGAGCUUCGAGAACCCAAAGUCGUAGUCCCUGAAGAAGCUCCAAUAGGGUACAGUGGCUCUGAAGGGAGAGAGCAUCGCGCCGCCACCUCCCACAAUUACAUGAGUAGUUGCAUUGAAUUGACCGGUGUAAAGAGUUCCUCGAGACCAUCUCGGCCCAUUGGUUCACCAUAUGAUCCCAUCAUGAUCUCAUACCAACUCGCAGAUGAGUAUCCAAGAACCCGAUGUGCAAGGAAGAUGAGCCAUGGUUGCUUCGACCUGUCGACCGACGACAGGCAUUGCUCGAUGAACUUAUACUGCUCAGUUCCUGGUCUCCAGUCCUGUUCAGUAUCAGCUAUGCAAAAUCUGAACAUGCCAUAG
rnacentral:lncRNA from 1 species